AACCUUCUAAACUCGUCGGCUAAAACUUUGAAAUUCGUCGGCUAAACUUUACAAAUUCAUCGGCCAAACCUUUGAAAUUCGUCGGCUAAAAGUAUUUUUAUACAUUUGGCAUGUUGUGAUUGUGAUGAUCAAACUUGAGAAACAGAAAUCCGACCGUCAGAUCUGACCAUCAUGAUAAAAUACAUGUAUGGGACAAAAUUCAACUUGAUCCGAAAAGAAUAAGGGCUUGAUCCGGACGGUCAAUCUCGUAAGUCAAACCCCUAAACGCACGGAAAAGGUCGUUCGACCGUCUAAAUUACGUAUUUUGGCCGGACCUCCAACUGAAAAUAGUUUUAAACCGAUGACACGCAACAAGUCGUAUAAAAAUUUUACGCAAAAUAACCACCGAAUAUAGGGCUACUCAUAGGGGGAAAAAAUGAAAAAUUGCAUUGACCGCAAUUAUCGGCACCGAAUAUUUACCGGAAUAGUGUGAUUUUUCAACCGUGGAUGUAUUUCAACAUUCUCGUCAUAUCUUAUUUCAGGACUUUUUGACGUUUGAAGGUUUUACGUAUAAUUUGUUUUUGAAACGGAACAUUUACAUAACACUUGGUAAACAAGUUAUACAACAUUAGUAUGCAUGUUGUGAUUGUGAUGAUCAAACUUGAGAAACAGAAAUCCGACCGUCAGAUCUGACCAUCAUGAUAAAAUACAUGUAUGGGAAAAAAUUCAACUUGAUCCGAAAAGAAUAAGGGCUCGAUCUGGACGGUCAAUCUCGUAAGUCAAACCCCUACACGCACGGAAAAGGUCGUUCGACCGUCUAAAUUACGUAUUUUGGCCGGACCUCCCACUGAAAAUAGUUUUAAACUGAUGACACGCAACAAGUCGUAUAAAAAUUUUACGCAAAAUAACCACCGAAUACAGGGCUAUAGUAAGUAAUAGAAAAAUUUUAGGGUUUAGCCGACGAAUACCCUAACGUAUUUAUUUGUCGGCUAUAGUAUGUAAUUAAAAAAUUAAAAAUUAACUAUAGCCGACGAAAUAUUAGGUUAUUCGUCGGCAAAAACCAUCUUAGCCGAUGAAUUAUAGUGUAUUUCGUCGGCUAAAGGAAAAAAAUACAUUAAAAAAAACAGACGAUAUUAGUAAACCAUACUAACUUCAUGUUCAUCAUGUAUCACCAAAAUUCAUAUAAAAUAACUGAAAUAUGAAUUCAACAUGUGUAAACUAUAAAGGAAAAGGUCUUUAGUUAUACAAAUUAAUGGAUUUCGUCCUCUAAAUUAAAACUAAGGCUCGUAAUCGGAAUCAUCCGAUGAGUCUUCUUCGGUGUCAGAAUUAAUUUCUGGUAAUAUAUGUCUUUCCUCAUCGCCAGAGUCUUCGUCUGUUUCUUGAUUUGGAUCAACAUCAAUAAGCCUUGGCUCUUCAUCACAAAUUCGCACCGAACGACCCGCUUUAAAAUUAUUAAGGCGAACGGUAGAGGAGUUAGGAAUACGUAUUGCGUUGGGCUCUUGAUACGCAACAUCCUCUUCCUCGUCUUCGG
rnacentral:lncRNA from 1 species